rnacentral:rRNA from 1 species
UACGGAGGGUGCAAGCGUUAUCCGGAUUCACUGGGUUUAAAGGGUGCGUAGGUGGGUUUGUAAGUCAGCGGUGAAAUCUCCGGAGCUUAACUCGGAAACUGCCAUUGAUACUAUAGAUCUUGAAUUUUCUGGAGGUAAGCGGAAUAUGUCAUGUAGCGGUGAAAUGCUUAGAUAUGACAUAGAACACCAAUUGCGAAGGCAGCUUGCUACGAGGAAUGAAUUACCACUGGAGGCACGAAAGCGUGGGGAUCAAACAGG